CCCUUAGAUGUUCUGGGCCGCACGCGCGCUACACUGAUGCAUUCAACGAGUCUAAAACCUGGUCUGAUAGGGCUGGGUAAUCUUUUGAAUAUGCAUCGUGAUUGGGAUAGAUGAUUGCAAUUCUUCAUCUUCAACGAGGAAUGCCUAGUAAACGCAAGUCAUCAGCUUGCAUUGAUUACGUCCCUGCCCUUUGUACACACCGCCCGUCGCUCCUACCGAUUGAAUGUUCCGAUGAAUACCAUGGACUGAGAGUAUGAAUGGGUUCGCCUAUUUCUGCUUCUCGGGAAGUGGAGUAAAUCUUAACAUUUAGAGGAAGGAGAAGUCGUAACA
rnacentral:rRNA from 1 species